rfam:Candidatus Pacearchaeota archaeon CG1_02_31_27 cg1_0.2_scaffold_40_c, whole genome shotgun sequence.
GCCCCUAUGGUGUAGAGGCCAAGCAUCCAGCCCUUUCAAGGCUGAGACCCGAGUUCGAAUCUCGGUGGGGGCA